rnacentral:rRNA from 1 species
UUAGUGCAAUGGCAUAAGCCAGCUUGACUGCGAGCGUGACGGCGCGAGCAGGUGCGAAAGCAGGUCAUAGUGAUCCGGUGGUUCUGAAUGGAAGGGCCAUCGCUCAACGGAUAAAAGGUACUCCGGGGAUAACAGGCUGAUACCGCCCAAGAGUUCAUAUCGACGGCGGUGUUUGGCACCUCGAUGUCGGCUCAUCACAUCCUGGGGCUGAAGUAGGUCCCAAGGGUAUGGCUGUUCGCCAUUUAAAGUGGUACGCGAGCUGGGUUUAGAACGUCGUGAGACAGUUCGGUCCCUAUCUGCCGUGGGCGCUGGAGAACUGAGGGGGGCUGCUCCUAGUACGAGAGGACCGGAGUGGACGCAUCACUGGUGUUCGGGUUGUCAUGCCAAUGGCACUGCCCGGUAGCUAAAUGCGGAAGAGAUAAGUGCUGAAAGCAUCUAAGCACGAAACUUGCCCCGAGAUGAGUUCUCCCUGAGACUUAGAGUCUCCUGAAGGAACGUUGAAGACGACGACGUUGAUAGGCCGGGUGUGUAAGCGCAGCGAUGCGUUGAGCUAACCGGUACUAAUGAACCGUGAGGCUUAACCUUACAAC